AACCAGGCCGUGCUUUCUUUUAUUUAGUAAGCUCAGCCGAAGAGCCCUGUGAUUAAUGCUAGAACUAUAAAUAAGGGACCAAGUUACAUAUCGUAGUGCAUGCCAAGCAUCCCCGUUGAAACAACAAAACAUUGCAGGUGAACUUAGUUUAAAAUGAUGCAUACUGUACGUAUGAUUUUCUUUAAAAUGAUCCGUACUGUAUUAUUUUGUUUAAGAUAGAUGAUGCCCUAAUGUAUGAUUUUGUUUUCUGGUGUCUGUGCACGAGCAAGAUCAUGGUUUGAACAAGUAAAAUUUUCCACAAAGGAGAACUGUGAAAGAUUAUGGUUUCAGGAAUGUCAUUUUUUCCGUACUGUGCAAGAUCAUGGUCUCAACAUGUUAAUUUUUUUUUCCCUUGAAGAUGCAUUGAGCAUGGCAUGGACUGUGUGGCAAAGAAAUGUACCUAGAUCGUCCUUCUGGUGUUCCUCAAUGCCUUGAUCAUCAUAGUGCUCAUCUACAAAAAUAAAGUGUUGUUAAAUUUAUUUGCCAUAAAAAUCAACCAUCUUUCAAGAAUUUGUUCUUGAUAUGUCAUGCCUAUGCAAUAUCAGAUGUGACAUGUAAAAUUCACUUUUUUUACUGACUCUUGAUUUGCUAGAGAAGAAAGAGAUCGAGAGGGCCAAGGAGUUCUACACUGACCAGCUUUCAAAGAUUUAGCAAACUGCUCAGAUUCACAGUGCCAAGAGUUGUCAAGACCAAAGAACAAAAGAGGUAAGAUGAAUCACAGCUCUGGUGAUAAGAUCACUACGUACCUUCAUGUAGUUUUUCUUGAUCCGGAGGAGCAUAAAGUUGAGAUCAAACUGAUGCACACAUUGCUUGCCUCCUCAUUGAGGUCAACUUGAUCAUGUUCAUCUUCCUGAGCCUUCUAUGUUCUUGCUGAUCUUUUGUGCUUCACUGAGAUCAGGUAAAAGCUCCCCAUCUCCCUCAUUUCGUGGCAGGUUCAGAUCUAUGGCCAUGUGUAAUGUGGCUAUUGUUAUGGAUUACAGAUGUUGAUGGCAGUGGCAUAAGGAAGCCUCAUUUUCAAGCUUUUAUAGACUUCUGUAGUCUAAGAAAGUUUUGACGCAUUGUGCAAGUUCAAUUUUUGGCGGACAUGUAAAACUUUGCUGAUGAUAGCUCUGUAAUUUUGGUAGGCACACAUAGCAAUGCCUCUGUAAUUUUGCUUGGCACCAAAUUAAGGGACUGUACAUUAGUUCUGGCCAAAAAAAAGUGGUUCAGUAAGCAUGGAGCCAACAGUACUUUGUUUUGGAAGCCAAAAAAGUGCAUGGCGCCUAGUAGUUGCUUGCCUUCCUAAGAUGCGUGUAAUUAAGUUGUAUGUACUGGUUCCCAAACGGCAACACUAACGCAAAUGCAAGCUGCAGCAAUAAAGAUUGCAUGUAGGUCAUUCCUCUCACUAUUAAUCUGUCUUAAACUCCUAAAAUAUACUCCAUUAUAUGUCAUCUGCAGUUUUCAUGGUUUGUAGUUGCGAUAACCUCUAAAAUUGCUGCGCUAUACAUUGCAAGAUUCUGGUUUGUUAUCAUAUUUAUUAUAGAGAAGCCACAGCCUAGGUGUAUAGUUAGAACAUUUAUAUUAAUACCUGUGUAUUGCACAAAAAACAUUUUUUUUAAAUUAUUGCAAAACACAGGAUUUACAAGUGCUACUGAUCACUUCAGAAGUUACAACACGGCCACUCAUAGAUUUCUUAUCUCACCAUCAUUUCAAUGGCAAUGUUCUUGUUAUUAUUUGAAUGCCAAUUUUCUGCCAUCUUGACUGAGAAGUCAAAUAUAAAAUGUGUAUUUUCAAAAUGUGCCUCCCAAUGACCCUCGUAGCUAAAAAGGUGAAGCUAUAUAUUGCUGUCUCUGAACAAUUAUCUGGACUAAAGAUAACUUCCAUAAAAGUUAAUUCUUUUUUGUAUGGAGUUGCUACAGAAUGCUGACAGUUAGUACACAAUUAUUUGGACGUGAUAUUGGAUGUCCUCGGCCACACUGGGACGUUUCAUGAAUUCCACAUGCAAUUUUUUAAUGAUAGUAUCUAUGGUAAAAGGUGGUGCUAUGAGAAAUCAUUUUUGUAGUACUGUUACCCUUCAAAUAUCUUGCCAUUUCGUGACCCACUUGGAAGCUAAGGAAUAGUGAUUGGAAGGGGUUGUAGAAAGGUUUGAGAGGAAACUGAGUAUAGCUGGAGUUGGAAACUUAUGUACAGAUAGAAGUAAAACCAGGAAAUAAUUAUAUGUCACUUUUGGUCCGGACUAAUGAGAGCGAAACAAGAGUUCUUAAAAUGGGAAUAUUUCCAAUUAAGAAUAGAUGCCAAACUAGAUUCUGCAAUGACAUUUGGUUGGAUAGUACAAUGGUAAGUUUCCAUUUCCAAUCACAGUUGCAUCGCAAAUGCCAAACUAUGUAACGUCCUUAGGACCCCAAGUAAAAUCAAUAUUCAUUUCACAGAUGCUGUUAAACAGAGGGUACUUCGCAAGCCCACCAGCACAAAAGCACACUUUAUGUACUGUGGUUGGCAAACAAAAGGUUUGUGAGCCAUCAGAUAAUCACAGUUUUUUUGACUCAAUGGCAAGUUUCAAUAAUAAUUUGUUUCACAUAUAUGUACAACUGUAGUUACAAAACUUCAUUGGCCUAAGGUGGCACAUUGCGUCGACAUUGGGUAUAAUGCCAGCUACUAGUUAUUUCACAAAAAUUAUUUAUUAGUGUCUAUAUAUUACUACCAUGUAAACUAGUUCUUUCCUAGAGCAAUAGGCCAGCAUUCAUGUAUAUGCAUCGAAAUUAAUUAAAAUUAUUGUUGGGCAUGAUAUUAACAUAUUCCGUGAUAUGGGUCUCCAAUUGAAAUAAAAUCAUGUUUGGAACCCAUCACAAAUGAACUCAUUUCAAAAUAAACAAAAUUUUCCUACUAUGGCAAAAACAGAUGCUAAAGUCUGUCAGUGCAUCCAUUUCUUGACAACUGAAAUGAAAAACUGAAAAAGUGGGUGAACAGAAUUACAACCGCGUGAAAAAUUUCAAUAUUCCACUACUUCCAUUAACCUUUUUGUUUGUCUUAUCCAUUGACCUCUUCAGAAUUUUUUGCCUCUUCGAAACUAUUUUAUUUGGCACAGAUUUGACACUAUGCCGUGUCAAUGAUGAGCAAAUAGCAACAGGUACUUCAUUCACCAACAAACUUGGCUCAUCAUAAUCUUCUUGGCCCAAACUCAAUUGUUUUGUAUUCUUGAUUGUGUGGUUGCUUUCUUGUGACAAUGAUGAGCACGAUAGACUUGAUUUUUCAUCUUGCAGAUCAAGAACUAACUCAUUUUGACCUAUUUCUUGACCUUUAUCAGUAGGUAAUUUCCUUUUCUUGAAUGGGUUGUUCUCAGGGAUAUUUUUUGGCUCCACUUCAUUGCCUUCCACUCGGGGGGAUUGCUUCUGCAGUAGAAAUUUGCUAAGGGCAAGAACUCCUUUUUUGCACUUUUUCCCAUCACUUGAAAUCUCAUCAACUGCAAACAUUGUAUAAUAAAAUAAAAAACACAAUGAGAAGUCCUGAAUUUGACCUAGUUCAUUGGAGUAUUGUAGGACAGUGAGGGCAUAAUCAUCCAUUUUUAUCUUCAAAAGAGAUUAGAUUAGCAAAAAAGAAAGCUCAACAACAAGUUAAUCGUGAAAUAAUUCUAAGUUGGUCCAAUAUCAUACUCACCUAUCAUAUUUUCAUUGCUUUCCUGGGAUGAAAGGAUUGUAAUACAGCUCUUUUGUGUCGAAAUUUCCUGAGAACCACAUUGAUUAGCAACUUCAAAUGCCGAGGUAUCAAGGAAAUCUAUAGGGCUAAUGAUCCUGGAGUACUGGUCGAAUGCUUUCAUGGUAAUAGGAUUCAGGUGCCCCUCUGCAAUCCCUCUUGCAAUUGAUGGUGAUAAUGCUCUUUAGAUGAUUAAGGAAUUCAAAGUAGUGACAGUAGAAAAUGAAUAAUUCUAUGGAAGACUAUGAUUAACAUCAUUGCUUUUUGGGCAGCAACAAUAUAAGCCAUUAUAGAUAUUUGCUACUAUGAGAAGUACAUAUAUGACCACUGGUUAAAUACAAAGCAUAACCAGGACACAAAGCAAGUGCAUUUUCAGAAAACAAAAAGGAAUAAAGGACAGAAUACCGCACACCCAAAUUAGUAGCAACUUGUGCCCUAAGAAGUUAUAAAUUAGUUUUUCCCUAAAUAGAUCAGCCAUUUACCGAAGCAACCAGCAAUGGAAGUUUCAGAAAUUGGAAGUACAAAAACUGUGCCCCUGUGUACUGAUGCUAGUACUGUCAGAGAUGUAGUCAGCCAAAAACACUGUAUACAGAUGCCUCAUCCUCAGGCUUAUCAAACAAAAACUUAUAAGGAUACGGUCCAAGAAUAUCCAGGUCUCCAUCCAAGGAAGUAAGAGACUGUUCAUCCAAAGGUUUCAAAUGUUUAAGUGACUUGCUUUUGACAUCAUAUCUGGGGCAUUGAAAGAAAGUGGCUCAUCAGUUAUCAGUGUCUUUUCACAAGCCAUACAGAUGCACAAAGUAAGAUAAACACAGUACAGUCUUACACUCUAGCAUGGUUGAACACUGCAAGAGUUUUCCAAAAGGAAUCAGCAUAAUCAUUUGGCACAGAGUACCGCUUGUCAAGCUUUAAGUUUGAUAUAACCUGGCAAUGCUUAGAUCAGUGAGGCAGCUCUUUAUACCAGAAAACAACAUUCAUCACUGCAGAGCGCAGAUUGUUCAGACAUUUACAAGAUUCAGCACAAAAAAUUGGUUUAAUCAUCGAGAGUGCACUUGUGCAACGAUAUACAACUGCUAUCAAACAGAAAAUCUUAAAAACAAUGUUUUAUACUUCUGUACAAAAUAAGUGUUGUUUAAGAAAAUGUAAAUGCUGCAAAUUACAUGUCAGAUUCUUUCUUUCAAAAAGUUGGUAGCUCCAGAAGUUCAAUCGGUAUAUUGCAACGGUUACAGAAAAUAAAACCACUGCAGAAAAAACUAUGGUUACAGGACAUAAAAUUAUUACAGAAAAAAGUACCUUAUGCAGUAAUGUUACAUUAGCCUAUGUACAAAGUAUUGGAACACAAAAUACACAAUAGCUCCAUAAACAUUCUGUGUUGUAAAUAAAUGUAUCUUAAAAAUUUUCAUAGUGUACUAUCACUUUUAGCAAACUGUACAUAUGCUUCGAAAUGGUGCCUAUAUAAGCUAUUGAUGAAGUCUAUGCCGAAAUAUGAAGAGUAAGUAAUGUUUCGUUUGCUGAUUAGCACAAGAUCAGUAAGGGAGUAAUCAUUCUUACACGAUUUAUGUCUUUAUAUUUUGAGAUGACAGAAUAUGCUCGUUUAGUACCAAUGCCUGAAAUCGACGGAAGGAAGUCACAUCCUGCAAGAACACACAUGCCUGUCCAAAUAUAAAAUGAAAUGUCAGCAGCAUUAAAAGUAUAUGUGCAAUGCAGCCGUUUUAUAAGGUGUUCUCUGCAGUUUCCCUUCAUCUUUUAACAUGUUUAUACUGCCAUUUGGAUAAUAUAUGAAUAGAUUAAGAAUUGUAUUUCUAACAAAUAGUAUUCUUGCAACACGUAGAAAGCAAGUAGCAUAGGUCCCCUAGGGUGGAUUAACUGGAGCAGUACUCAAUUCGCUUUUCUUUUUUGAGCAAUAUAAUUUAGCUGGGGAAAAUGUUCAAGUCAAUGCUUAGUAGUCUACCAGACGUGGGCAUGACUUACCUGUAAAAAGUUGUUGAUUGAAAUCUCGGAAGGAAAGACCAUCUUUAUCUGUCUUUAGGGUUCUUUCCAUUGUGAAUUCUUCACCAUUCCCGAAUCGAUCCAUCUUAAAUAUAAUCUAAAAGUUGGUAUCUGUUAGAUACUAAAAACAGAAUGAAAAGCAUGUGAAGAGAAAGUGAUUGUCUCACAGCAGGGCAACAAUAUGCUAUUAAGUCACUGUCUUCUGUAACUACAGCAGCUAUGCCCCCUUGAUCAGCAUCAAGAGUAGUUAGAUAUGCCAACUGUGCAUCAGCUUCAUAUGGAGCCACCACAAAUUCAACAUUUUCUGACCGCAAUAUCUGGAACAAAAAACGUAUGAAUUUUUCUAUACAAGGUAAAGAAAGUCCACAAGAAUUACUUCCAAUGUAGCACCUGAAUUAGUUCAUAAGCCAUCGAUGGAGUAAUGUGCACAGCUUUCUGCAAAUGAACAUAUACAAAUCAGUGUCAGAGAAUCCUAAUCACAUCCAGCUCCUACUAAUCAUAAUCAAGGGUUACAGGAACCCUCUUUUAUUCAGAUUAGUGCUGUUGUACAACUUGCUUGUUGCUUGCCAACUGGCCUUCUAACUCUAUAUCAUGAGAUCAAUGAAACCAACCAAGCCAUGUGAUUCUAGCAGCAUUUCAAGAGCUACACUGAAGAUUGGGAUUGUCAAACAAUGAUCACUACAGAAUGCAAGAAAAUCAAGUGACAAGUUUCUAGCACCACAUCCAUUCACUAAAGAUUGAUCAAGCACAGCGAGACAAAUUUACAUGGAAGUGGAGAACGUGUGGACAAUACCAGGCAAAAUCUGAAUAUGACAUCCAGUAUGCAGGUUCUAUUUCUCCCUUUAAUCAGUACAAUUUGGAGAGCAGCAACUGAAACUGCUGCAGGCUCUUGCUUGGUUAAUGGUGCAACACAACAUGCUAUCAGGCUAUCAUACUGGUUCUUAUAGUGUGGAUUAGUAGCCAUGUUCCCGGAACGAUGGGAUCAGGAACGUGGAACGAGGAAUGUGGUAUGGCACUUAUGAAAGGUUUUUACACUAAUUGUUCCCGUUCCCGGAACAUAAUCGUUCCCGGGACGAGGAACAUGGCCACGUUCCACGUUCCCGGCUGCUAUGGAAAAUCCUUUGUUGCAGAGUCAAUUUCAGUAUUAAAGAUUUGUAUUCAAUCCUGAGUUACAAGUGGUGUUCACUGAGUUCUUUCUUCAGUCCUUGGCUUUGUAAUAUUUUGCAUUCUACUUCGUAAAUUAAAUUAACAGAACUUCUGCCCUUGCUGACUAGUUUUCCCCUUCCAUACUAGAGCUACACAGUUAGUGAUAAGCAAAUAGCUUAGAACCAGUAGUCCAGUACUUCAUAGUUGUGCACCCUGUGUCUUGUUUUUCACCGAAAAGAGUUGAUGCACAAAUAGCUUCCAGACUCUCUGUCCAUAAAGGAAAUAGGGACCAAGAAAUUUAAGGUAGUUCUCAUGGGUUAAAGAUAUUCCCAAGUUACCAUAGGUUGCAAUUGUUGCUUUUAAUACUUUGACAACAUAAUACAAAACAGUAAUUACACUUGCCACAUGGAAAUGAUUUCAAUAGAUUGUCACUGUGGUUUUUAAUAAAUUCCGAUGACAUAUACAUACAAAGAAAAAUAGUGGUCAAAGAUGUUAUUAGAGAUCAUGGCUACAUGGCAAUGUCCAAAACAACAAGUAGAAGUGAAUGGAGGGACCAAGUUUUUGGCAUUCAAUAUCUGUGGAUAUCAAAAUGACAGCUAACAUUUUGGAAGUCAAAAGGUUGUGGCAAUUUUUCUGGUAUGGCAACAAGCCAACAACUGCAAGAAGAAAAGUAUAUGCUUACCCGGAAUAGAUCAACGGCAGCAGCUGUGUUUCCUUGCUCAAGCUUUUCUUUUGCCAUGUUCAGACUGAGUUCCCUCCUCCUGAAUGUAAAUAGCAAUGAGAAUUAAAUGUACAGCUUAGGUGUAUGGAACUGCAUAAUAACGUUCUUAUAAUAGACUGCAAAGAAAUCUUAAUAGCAGGGCAGUAUAUAACUAUCAAAUUGGACUAUGAGCAUAACAAUAAUUGGUUUUAGGUAAUGAUGACAGCCCAGCUCCAUUUUGGCCUUAAAACAAGACUGCUAAAAUCCGAGGUGCCAUAACCACUGACAUAGAAAAAUGCCUGAUGGAUGCUAACAAAGAAAAUAAUCCCAAAUCACCACAAACUAUUACCAUCACGGCACAUUAGCCGACAACACAAAUCUUAAAACUACAGAGCAUGAAACCCUGAAUUCGUAACCAAAUAGGCAAAUAUCACCAUAGCUCAAGUCACCAUACCUCUGCCGCUCAUUAUCCGUGGCUGCCUUGCAAGGCAUGCUGCCCCCAUCAAAGACGACGACGGGAAUAACUUUGUAAUGCCGGAGGAGGUUGAUGUGGUGCAUGAAGUAGCUGAUAUAGCGCCUGGCUGCAGUGCUCUUGGGGUUCAUACACAGCUCCAUACUGCAAGAAUAGGCUGUAACACAAUAAACCGAACACAAGAAACAAUGAAAAAUAUGUCAAGAAUACUGCCAAAAGAAUCCCUAUCAGUACUAGUCAAUACAUUGCAGCGUACAAUCGAAUCGAACCUCCUUUGUGGAGCCAGGAGUAGGCAUCUAUGCCGACCUGCAGACGCAGCGCAAAAUGCCAAGAAAUCAGGAGGAAUGGAAAAUGCGAGAGAAACUGCAGAUUGAAAGCGGGAAUGGGGAUCUGUUUUUACCCGCUUGCCGGCGUACUUGUUGAUGUGCACCGGCUCGAUGAACGGCUUGAGGAAGCGGAGAAGGUUGGGGAUCCCCAUCGUGUGCGCAAGUAAUCGAAAGCCAGCUGAUUUCGAUCGGUUCCCGGGAGGAUUGGAUUGGGAUUUCCAGGGGACUGGGAAGAAGCGGCAGAGGGGGAAGAAACGGGGGAUGCUGGAGAAGGCGAGGACUAUCGAGUCACUGACAGGUUUAGAGUCGGCGUGGGUCCCACGAAUGGCGAGGCAGGGGUUGGGUGGGAACCAGUUCCGUUUCGCGCGCACCGGGUUGGUUUCCCGCGCUUCCACCGGUCGCGAAAAUCCAAGUUAAUGUUUUAAACAUGUACUCUACAUCUAACUUUGUAUAAAAACAAUUCAACAGAUUGGUUAUUUUUUGUAAGAGUAGUAUUAGUGCAGGUAUCUCUAAGUACAUUUUUUUUCAAAAGUUUGGAUUGUUAUCUACGGAGACUGCAAAGAGUCAGACAGAGCUCGUGAAGGCUACUUAUCCUCACCCAAGCGGACAGACAUCUACAGGGUGGGAUGCUUUGCCAUCAAGCACACAAAUGGCGUGCAGUAGUUGGCAACAACAUCCACAGGCCAAAAGAAAACUCUGGUGCAUUUAAAAUACAUACAAUUUAUUUUAAAAUACUUUAAAGCCAAUGCAAAAACAAGAGUAUUUCUAGCCCAACGAUUAGACUUGGGAAUAAAAGCCAGCCCAAAAUGACCUAGGAGAGUGUCCUGGGCCUGGUCCAAUUUUUUUUCCCAUCCAAGCAGGCCCAUGGGUUACUAUAGCCCGCGCACGGUAAUGAAUUAUCUGUCACAUGUAACCAUGGCAACUCUGUUGAUCAACUCGCAAGUCCACCUGUCCAUUUGUGCUACCAAGCUAGCGCUUCGAGUUUUCAACAGCUAAACAGGUAACGGUAGCUAUCACGGCCUGCAGCAACUCAAAGUCCACCUUUGCGUACGUAUCCGCGCGCGUGAAGGGAAGCAGAAGAUUUCUCAGUUCCGAUCGACCGGUCAGCUUCUGAGAAAUUUCACCCUCUUCUUGCCUGACGGGUUCCUCCCCAUCUUCUUUCGAUUUGCUCAAGAAGUUGAGCUCCAUGAAGCUCAUCUUAUUUCCUUGCUUGACAGGAAGCAGACUCGAGCAGGAUUUUUAGAAAAGUUCUCGAGCAGGAUUUCAACCCAGGAAAUGGUCGGAGGUCUACGGCGUGUGGGUUGUCCUUGUCCGACGUAGGACAUGUAGCGUUAUCGAGGACUAAAUCAAUGAACGGUGCCUCUCUAGUCAUAAAUAGCUGAUGUUUGAAUUUCCUGCAGAUAAAGUGAUGUUUUGAAUCUGAGUUUGGAUAUUUCAAAGUGAGUACUGGAUGUAUCUCGAAAUAUAUAGUUUCAUAAAAAGUAUAUUUUUAGCAUCAUAAACUGUACUUCACUAUUUUUUUUAUAAAAACAGUAAUCAAAAUUGUGGUAUCUUCCAUGUCCAAAGUAUCACUUGUUUGUGACCAAAGGGAGUGUAUAAGAACGGGCACUGCCGUUAUAGGCCGGCACUGUACUUAUUUUCUUGCUUGAUUGAUAACUAUCAAGUCAUUAUCACCACCUUCAUUUGCUGGCGGCAAGGCCACCUAUGAGAUUGUAGUAGCAAACUUUUUGACAAUUAUAAACAGAUAACCGAUGGCAUGAUGUAGCUGUCACCGUAUGAACACGUUAAAUUCAAUGGAAACACUGUGUAGCAGAAGCUUCUUGUCUUCGUCAAUCCGUGUUGAAAUCAUGAUAAAGGCCUCAUCUUUUUCUUACCGUGCGUUACACAACCAAACAAUUAGAACGGCCUGGUCGCUAUGGUGACCCGUAUUAUCUCUGCCGGAGUAUUUGGGAGUGUUUGAUUCGUUUGCGAGAACGGGUGGGCGUCCAUGGCGACUGCGGCGGCGCCCGUCGGCACGGUGGUGCUGGUAGACGCGGCGCUGGCCCCGUACGAGCACCCCGACCUCCGGUGGCUCGUCCGGAAGCACGUCCUCGCUGUCCUCCAGGAGUUCCCCACCCUCUCGCCCUCCGUCGACACCUACACCAGCGACGACGGCGCCUCCGCCGUGCUGCUCAACGCGCGGGGGCCCCUCGCCGUCUCCCCCGCCCUGCCGCCGAUCCUCCUCACCGUAUGGCUUCCCAGGGAGUACCCCUACCGUCCGCCGCUCGUCUUCGCCUUCCCCGCCGCGCCGUCGGCGGCGCUCGUCCCCGACCACCCCUUCGUCGACCACCGCACCGGCCGCGUCCACCGCACGCUGCCGUACCUCGAGGGCUGGAGCGUGCCGCGCUCCAGCCUCGCCGGCCUCGUGCGGAGCCUCGUCGCGGCCCUGAGGAUGUGCCACCCGCUGACGACGGCCUCCUUCGGCUUCGCCGCCGGCGACGCCAGGACCACCAGAGCCGGAGCGACGCCGGUGGAGGAGGAGCGGCGGCGCAUGCACGCGGUGCUGGUCGACGAGCUCGCCGCGAGGCUGGGCAGGGACGCCGCCGCCUUCCGCGGCGGCGUCGACGAGGACAUCCAUGCCAUGUCCUCGAUGCAAGCCGGGCUCCGGACACGGGGAGACGCCAUGGGCCGCGCCGUCCGCGACCUAGAAGAGGAGAGGACGCGGCUGGAGCGCGCCGUGACGGCCAGCCUCGCCCACCGCGGGAAGCUUCUCGCCUGGCUGCACAAGACGAGCCCGGCGCCUGAUCCGGGAGUGGCACUGGCACCGCACGCGGCUGCAGGGAGAGGGGACGCGCCGCGGUGGUUGGAGAGCAAGGCGGCGGAGCUCGCCGCGGACGACGCCAUUGACACCCUUGGCCGCGCGCUGGAGAACGGGGAGCUCAGCUUCCAGGAGUACAUCAAGCGCGUGAAGAUCCUCGCCAGGGAGCAAUUUUUCCAUUGCUAUGCAGCGUCCAAGUCGACCUAGUGAUCGAUUGCAGUAGUUGAUAUCUUUCUUCAUUUUAUUCGUUACUCUGUUUGGCGGAGACUCUACAUUCAGUAGGUAUCAUGGUUCAACCUUACUUCUUAUUUAAUUUGGCGGUACAUCUUGUGUUCAGAAAAUGCAAUUUUUCUCAGAAAUCUACAACUGAUGAGCUCUUCCCUCUCUCUGAUAAAGAAAAAAAUAAACUGAACGCUGAAAUAGUCUAAUCCGUAGCCUUCAUUGUACGAAGGCUUCUUAAUCCAAUUGGUUAACUCAGUGGCGCCUUCUUAAUCCAAUUGUUGAAUUCAGUGGUGCCUUCUUAAUCCAAUUGUUAAUGCUAGCAUAUGUCCAAUUUUCAUUGCCUUCACGGGAAAAGGCGAUUGGAACAGCAAAUUUGCUUGUUGUGAUUACAAUUCAGCAGGUUGCUUUGCUUAUUCUCAACUAAUCAACAAAAUGCAGUGACAGUGACAGAGACUGUAUCUGUUUUGUUAUGCCUCCUGGUGCCCCUCGUUCCUAAUGAUCACAAAUAAAGAAUGCAUCUGCAUCAAGGGUUGAAUGUUGAGAUUUCAUCACCUAGCCUAGCUACUAUAGCUAGUAAAAGAAUUCAGAACGCCACCCUGAAAUUUAACAAGAGUUGCUAUCCGACAACGUGGCUUUGAGCCUCUGAGGAAGUUUGUGCUUUGGAUAUCUUUUAUGCAAAUCAGGAGUAGUGCCUCAGGUACACCCCAGAAGAAGUGACUGAAAAAUGAGAUGACCUACGGGAGCAGCAUUGAUCCUGUGAGAGGUGGAGUAUAUAUGUACACAAGGAGCAUAUGAUGGAGAGUUGAUAUAUGCUGAAGCUUCUUGAUGAAAGUUAAUGAUAUAUGAUUAUGAUGAGGGAUAGCUGGGUACAGAGUAUAUUAGGUUCUUGCCGUAGCUUCCAGGAAUACAUUGAGCGUGUCAAGAUCAUCAUCAUCCAUGUCGAUGUGAGCGACCGCACCUGUUCUAAUUUAAUUUCUCACAGGCACCAAAUGAUCAAAUACGAUUGUUAAUUACUCUCUCCGUUCCAAAUUAUAGGUCGUUUUGGUUUUUUUAGAUUCAUAUAUUUUGCUAAGUACUUAGAUAUAUGCUAUGUCUAGAUAUAUGCUAUGUAUAGAUGCAUAACAAAUGUUAUAAACUUAUAAAAGUCAAAAUGGCCUAUAAUUUGGGACGGAGGAAGUAAUAUCUUUUUUCACUUUAUUCGUCAUGCGUAGUACACAUCGUAUAUUACAAAUUCACAAUGGAUACUUAUGGUUGCUAUUGCGUUCACCUUGUUUUCAAUAAUUGCAAUUUCCCUUGGGAAAAAUCUACAUGCUCUCGGAUAAAAAAAAACAACUGAACUCUAAAACCUUAAUUGCACGAAGGCUUAACUCAAUUCUUGAAUUCAGUGGUUCCAUGAGGAAGUCUUCUCGUAGAUGUCCAGUUUGCAUUGUUUUAAUGGUAUAAGGAGAUUAGUACAACAAUAAACUUGCUAUCUGCCAAUUUAUCAAGUCCUGCAGCAUAUUUAUGAUAAAAAUAAUGCAGUUUGAAAAAAGCGACAGUACCACUAUCAGUUUUGGUGUGCCUCCUUGUGGGAUGAAUGAUUUACCGUGAAGUAACCCAUGAGGAUUGUGGUGGAUCUGUAUUCCAAUCACAUUAGAAUUACAGGAAAGAAUCACAAGAUUACAAUCAGGAUUACAAUCAAUAGAUUGCUAAUCAAUCCAAUCAAUCAGGUAUGGACAGGUUCGGCUAUUGCCAGAUAUCCUGAAGUUGCUAUGUCUAACACUCCUGAUGCCCCUCGUCCCUAGGUAGUGCAUACCCGGAUCAAGCAUGAACCAGAUGUAGGCAUAUCUACAGUUGAGAUUGAGGUUAUAUCACCCCAGCCAACCUACCUAGAAAAAGAAAAAUUCAGAAUAACACCCCAGAGGGUGCAGUUCUUCCAUUGCUAUGCAUCGUCCGCACUGAUGAGCACCCAGUGAUCGACUGCAGUAGUUGAUAUCUUUCUUCACUUUAUUCAUUACAAUUUGGUGAGACUGUACAUUCAAUAGUUAUAGUUCCAUUUUAUUUCUUAUUGGCGGCUGAUCUUGUGUUCAAUAAUUGCAAUAUUCCUUGGCAAAAGCUACAGCUUAUGAAUACUACUUUGCUCUCUCUGACAAUAAAGCAGGACUCUGAUUUAGUCUGAUCCGCAGCCUUCAUUGUACGAAGGCUUGUUAACCGUUGAAUUCAGCAGUGCCGUGGCAAUCACUAGCGGUUUGUCCAAUUUCCAUUUUCUUAACAGAAAGGCGAUUGGUGGAACAAACUCGCUACUACUUGUAACUUCACUUUGGCAGGUUGCUAAGUUAUUCUCAACUAACAGAAUGCAGCGAGAGUACCUGAACCUGCACAUGUUUUGUUGUGCCUCCUGGUGCCUCUCAUUCCAAAGCACCACGCGUGAACAACGCAGCUGUAUCAAGGGUUCAAUGUUGAGAUUUCACCACCCAGCCUGGACUACUAUAGCUAGUAAAAAAAUUCAGAACAACACACAGAAACUAGACCAGAGUUGCUAAUAUCCAACAACAUGGAUUUAAGGAAAGUAUGUGCUUUGGAUAUCUUGCACAUCACGAGUAGUGCCUCAGCUACACCAUAGAUAAAGGAGUGACAGAAGAAAUGAGAUGACCAACUGGAGCAGCAAUGAUCCUGUGAGAGGCGGAGCAUAUAUGUACACAUGGAGAUGACCAACUGGAGCAGCAAUGAUCCUAAGCUUCUAGAUGAAAGCCAACAAUAUAUGAUUAUGGGGGCUAGAGCUGGGUACAAAGUAAAUUAGGUUCCUGUUGUAGCUACAGGAGUACACUGAGCGUGCCUAUAUCUUUCUUCACUUCAUUAGUAAUUUGGUACAGAGCGUACGUUCAACAGAGGUACGGUACCAUUUUAUUUCUUAUUUGGUGGCUCAGUAAUUGCAAUUUUUCUUGGCAAAGCUACAACUAAUGAUCUAUUCACUCUCUCUGAUUAAAAAAAACCUAAACUCUGAAUAGUCUGAUCCAUAGCCUUUAUUAUACAAAGACUUAAUUCAACUGUUGAUUCAGCUCUUCUGUGGAAAUAAGCUGGCAGAGUCCAAUUUUCAUUGGCUUAACGUGCGAAGGCGAUUGGCAAUAAUACAAUAGAACUUGCUAUUGUGACUUGAACUUUUUCCAUCAGCAGGCUGCCAGGUAAUAGAAUGCAGUGGAAAUGCGCCUGGUAGUUUUAUUGGGCCUCCUGGUGCCCCUCAUUCCGAAGCAUCACAAACGAAGAAUGCAGCUGUAUCAAGUUCAAGUAUGUGAUUUGGAUAUCUUUCAUGCACAUCACGAGUCCUAGUGCCAAGAAGUGAAAGAAGAAAUAAGAUGACCAAUUGGAGCAGCAACGAUCCUGUGGGAGGUGAAGUAUGUAUAUACUUGGAGCAGAUGAUGAAGUGUGGAUACUAAGAUGGUAGAUCAAAGUCAAUAAUAUUUGAUUAUGAGGGCUAGCUGGGCACAGAGUAAAUUAUGUUCUUGCAGUAGCUUCCAGCAGUGCAUUAAGCGUGUCAAGAUCCUCAGUAUACACGUCGAUGAGCAGGGGCAUGUGUUCUGCUCUAAUUUCUCUUGGGCACCAAGUGAUCAAUUGCGCUAGUUAACAUCUUUCUUCACUCUAUUCUCUCUGAGUUGUACACACCGUACAGUAAGUGAUGAAAUCUUCACUCUCAUUGCUAGAAAAAUUUAAAUGAGCUCUGGAACCUUUGUUGCACGAAGGCUUAACACAAUUGUUGGAUUCAGCGGUGAUGUACAAAGAACUUGUAGAUGUCCAAUUUUCAUUGUUACGAAAAACUAGCUACAUGUGACUCUAUGGAUGUCUCCAGCAUGUUCCUGAUUAACAAGCUUCAGAGCAAGUACCAUUACAGGUGUGCCUCCUGUUGCCUCUCAUUCCUAAGCAGUGCAUGCUCGAAUAAAGCAUGCACCACAUGCGGGCAUAUCAACAAUAGAGAAUAUAUCACCCCAGCCUACCUAGAAAACAAAGGAAAGUUCAGAACAACACCCCAGAGGAAGUGACAGAAGAAAUGAGUAUGCUUAAAUAGAGCCGGUGAUGGAAUAUGCAUACUGAGUUGAGCUGGCAGAUGGAAGCUAAUGAUUUGAGUUAAUAUAAGGACUAAGCUGUUGCCACAGUUGCAGAGACGGUUGUAGCUCAUCCAUGGUUUUGGACCUAGGCAAUGCGAAAACUAUGCAUUCGAUAGCUGCAACUGAUGAUCUAUUCGUUCUCUCAUUAAAAAAGAAAACUGAAUUCUGAAAUAGUCUGAUCCACAGCCUUUAUUAUUAUAUACAAAGGCUUUUCAACUGUCGAUUCAGCUCUGCCGUGGAAAUCAGCUGGUAGAUGUCCAAUUUUCAUUGUCUCAACGUGUAAGGCGAUUAGUAACAUACUUGCUAUUGUGACUUGAACUUUAUCUUCUACAGGCUGCCAGGUAACAGAAUGCAGUGAAACCUGGCUGUUCUAUUGUGCCUCCUGGUGCCCCUCGUUCCGAAGCAUCACAAUCGAAGAAUGCAGCUUGUAUCAAGUUCAAGUAUGUGCUUCGGAUAUCUUUCAUGCACAUCACGAGUACUAGAUGACCAAUAGGAGCAGCAAAAAACCUGUGUGAGGUGGAGUAUGUAUAUACUUGGAGCAUAUGACGAAGUCUGAAUAUUGAGCUGGUAGAUGGAAGUCAUUGAUUAUGAGGACUAGCUGGGUACAGAGAAAAUCAAAUUCUUGCCCGUAGAUGUGGACAACAUAGUAGAUGUCCAACUUUAAUUUUUUGGACAAACUAGGCACUUGUGACUUUACCGAUUUCUAGAGCAUGUCUUUGAUAAACUGCAACAUGUCACUGAGAAAGAGUGAAAGACACUGCAGUGAGACCACCGCUAUCUGUUUUGGUGUGCCUCCUGGUGCCCCUCGUUCCUAAGCAGUGCAUGCCUGCAUCAGGCACGCACCACAUGUAAGCAUAUCAAACAUUGAGAUUAUAUCACCCCAGCCUACCUAGAAAACAAAGGUAAAUUCAGAACAGUACCCCAGAGGAGGCGAUAGAAGAAAUGAGUAUGCUUAAAUAGAGCCAGUGAUGAAAUAUGCAUACUGAGUUGGAGCUGGCAGAUGGAAGUUAAUGGAUUUGAGUUAAUACAAGGAUAAGCUGUUGCCCACAGUUGCAGAGACGGUUGUAGCUCAUCCAUGGUUUUGGACCUAGGCAACAUGAAAACUAUGUAUUAAAUAGCAGAGUGUGCAUGAAACUAUAUAAGCAUACAUAAAUAUGGACACAAAGACAACAUUGUUCCAUGGAAAAAAUUACAAAGAAAUGAUUAAUUCCAACCAGCUUACAAGUCGAUGAGUAAUUUACCAAAAUUAAAGAAAAGGUAUAAAGAUCAUGUCAAAGAACACACCUACAUUUGUUGAUCUUGGUAAAACUUGGCGUUAUCCAUAUGGGUAUUGGCCUGCUCAACUAGGGUUCAGGAUUGACAAUCUCAGUGGCACUUCUAUUUUCCAAACUAUACACUCCAACAUCCCGUCGGUAAUCUUGCUCAUCCAUUAGCGAAUACUCAUCGUCGUCAAUGAAAUAAACAUGGUUGGGCUGCAGCCGAGGGUAAUCCUUUGUAGAAAUGCAACACGAAUAGUUACGCCCGAUGAACAAUGAAUCAUCAUUCAAGGUGUCAAUAUCCACAGUGCAUUGCUUGUCAAGGUCAACCUUGAAUAUUUCAAGGUCACUCGUAUGCGUUUCUAGUGAAUCCUGACUUGAGUCAGUAGUGAUCCUCCAGAUUUGCAGAAAUUCACCGGAUGAAGUCCGAGCAACAUGUAUGGCAGGGGGUCCUUGAAAAUGAUAUCUCGUGUGGCACAAGAACCUUCAAUAGUAUAGCGAUGAAUCCCUCCAGGAAGAUUCAUGGCAUAGAAUGCGCCGUCAUGGUAUAUGCAGUCCAAGUACUGGGAUUCCCAAAACGAUGUUGUGAUCCAGUGCCACUUAUUGCCUCCAACUCUCGCAAAUGAGAGCUCCUUAUAUGGAUUGUGAAUCAUCAUGAGGAUGCAAUCACCCCGCGAAGGAUCGCCGGAGAGCACCACGUUCAGAUACAGGACUCGCCGGAGUCGGCCACCGCAUAUGGCUGCGGCGGCUGGUUCUCCUUCCUAGGGAGAGUGGCGUCAUAGAAAGAAAGGUCAUACCUUUGCAGGUUGCCAGCGUCGUCGAGGACGGGGCUUACCUGCUCGAUGGUGGCGACGGUGGCGGGAUUGAGGAGGUGGAGCUCCGAGCGGGCGUCGGCGGUGACGAGCCACCCGUGGGACGACCCGACGAUGCUGCGCUCGGCAAUGGGCGGGUCUGGGAGAGGGAUGGUGUACGAGCUCUUGUCAGCGAGGCUGUAGAGCUCGGCGGCGCGGGUGCCGGCUGCGGCGGUGGAGUAGAGGAGGCAGGGGGUCUGCGGGCGCGAGUAGAGGCCGUGGCGGCGGAGGGACCUGGCGGCGGCGCUCCAGGAGUGGCAGACGGCGGCGGAGCGGAACAGAUCGGGGAACUCGAGCUCGCCUUGGAUACUGGUGAGGAUGUCCGCCGGCAGCUUGGACCAGUCGGCGCCGAGGGCCGGCGGUUCCUCCAUUGGGGGCGAAUCGGUGCUCGAAACUGGGGAUCCGAUUUGAUUGCCGCCGAUUCCGGCCAUGGCGAGCUUUAUUGUUAUGCUAAAUAAGUACGGCCGCCGCCGCGGCCGCCUCUAUCUCCGGAGAUUCGGAGAAUGAUGAUGAUGCCAAUUCCAAAAUUGGCGACGGAGUGUUUGGAACUGGAUUUCGUAAAGGUAGGGUGUUUGUAUCCCCGGAUUAAAUUUUAAUCCCUGUUAUACUAAUUAGAAGUAUUAAAUAUAGAUUAUUUACAAAAUUCAUUGUAUAGACGCAGGCUAAACGACAAGACGAAUCUAUUAAACAUAAUUAGUUCAUGAUAUUGACAAUGUAUUGCUACAUUAACCACUUACUAAUGAUGGAUUAAUUAGGUUUAAUAGAUCCAUCUCGCCGUUUAGCCUCCAUCUGUGUAAUUAGUUUUAUAACUAACUCAUAUUUAGUUCUUCUAAUUAGCCUCCGAAUAUUCGACGUGACACAAACUAAAUUUUAGCUGAGAAUCCGAGCAUCCCUGGAACAAUGGUUGCCAAAGAGUUGACUGACCAAUAUAUUUGAGCCGUCGUGUAAAAGAAACAUAUUUGGGCCCUGGGCAUGUCGGGCUAGGGCUGCGGUGCCUAAACAUUUUUUUCAUGCUUGUAAAUUUUUUUUCUUUGCUAUUACAGUAAAGUGUUAGGUAACUUAAUUCAUAUGUAUGCUGACUUUUUCUUGUCAAAGACAAAUUUGAUUUUGUGAAUGGAAAACUCUAAAUAGUAACGAUUGUUUACCUUUUUCUGGGAUUCUGGGAUUAUGAUUAGUGAUGUACUGUACUAAGAAAAUAGAUCACGAGGAAUGCCUUUUUUUUUUCAAACGUGGGAUGCUUUUGCACUCACUGAAGACCUUGUUUUCCAUCUGCAAGGUUCUAGCUAGUCAUUUGAGCCUGAACCCAACCACUCCAAAGCGACCAAUACGCCACACUUGUGACUUAUUCUCUCAUGGUGGUAAAUAAAGAAGGGAGCUAACUGAAGGACUUAAAUGUCAUUGUGAUCGGGCCUGUUUGGUUUGAGUUGCUUGUUAUAAGCAACUUAAAGUUGCUUAUUUUUAGUCUAGCUGUUUGGAUACCCUUGCUUAUGAGCAUUGAAUGAGGUGGACAUUGUCAUAUUUGCCCCUUGUGUUGCUCCCUCUUUGCCUCCCACUCUUCUUCUUUCCUGCACACGACCAAAUCGCCGGUGCCUCCCACCCUUCUUCUUUCCUACACACGACCAAAUCCGCAGGGCCGGCGGCGAGCAGGGAGCAGCAGCAGGUGGCCGGCGGCGGCGAUGGGGCGGGAGCGGCGCGCCGAGGCGGGGCUGGAGCGGCGGGCGGAGGCCGCCGCCGGCGGGAGCGGCGGGCCGGCACGGGAGCGGGGAUCCGAUGACGGGGGAGGGGAGAGAGAGGAGUAGAGUGCAUUGAAUGAGGGUAGAAGGUGUAAAGUGCACCUUUUAGUCCCCAUAAGCAACCCAAGAGUUGCUUAUUUGCUUAUAAUAAGUAACCCCAUAAGCAAGAGUGAUUGGUUUCAUAAGCAACUUAUUUGCUUAUUUUAAGUUGCUUAUGCAUAAGCAACUCAAACCAAAUAUACCCGAAGUAAAGCUUAGCGAUUGCAAACACAUUCUCGUUUUUUGUUGAGCCUCCUGAUACCCCUCAAUCCUAAUUGGCUACCCUUUUGUACAUCAAUGGUUGACACUCGCGGCUACCAAUAACAAGAGCUGAUAUCUAACCACAUGGCAACUAUUAAUAAUAUAGUAUAUUGCAUCGUCAAUACUUUGGAAGUAAAGUUCCAUUAACCAUCAUAUAUUUGGUACAAUAACUCUCUUGUCUCGCCCUUACAGCCUUCCACCCUUCCAUUUUAUAUGCAAAGAAUCAGGAGCGGCAGACCACAGAGGAGAAAGAGAGUAUGCGGUGUUGUGAGGAAGACCAUUUUACAAAAGGUUUCAAAAAACACUAAUCGUCUUCUAUGGUAGAGAAAGAGAGUAUUCUACAGAAAUGGAAGGCAUCAGUAAACGGCGUACCGCGAGGGCGUUGCUUCUGCUUGCUUUGGUAGAUCUUCAUGGACAAUGACCAGAGAAUGACGGAUCACCAAAAGUGCACAAAACAUGCUUGCCACCACUAUGCUCGCCAUGUAAUUAAGGGCAUUUUCAGAAUAAGCUCGCUUCAGGAACAGCAGGACACGCAACGUGAUUAACAUGACAGGAUGGGACUAGUAGGCCGGAUUCUCUGGUUCUCACCAUGUCCUUGGCCAGCAACACCCAUUGCCUGCAAUUAAGUAAGCCAACAAAUUAAAUGAGCCGGCGGGCUGGGCAUCCUGCAUCUUGGAAGUUUAGUAGAGCACUUCGCCUACGGUGGCUGUGGCGGGAGUGGAACCGACAUUCCUUACAAUAGCACCGAUCGUCUCCUUUUUGCAGCAGCGACAAAAAUUACAAUUGGGAAAAAUUACCAUCCACGGUGAUCGUUGGGAGGAUAAGAGACGAGGCCCCAAAUUGGAUUUUGGCGGGAGCAAAACACUUAGCUAGGCUUGUUCAUAACAUGUAAAGAGUCUCAGUUUCUUUUUUGUGUGACCUUUGUACAUUUGUAGCCGUUCGGCUUUCCUUCGUUUUAAUAUAACAGGCAGCUCUUCUGCCAGUUCAUUUAAAAAAAGUUAAAUGAGCUUAUAUGCCGAGUUAUCUCCAACUAAGCAAUAAUAACAAGCAUCCCAUUUGAUUCAUUGAGAGGUUAGCUAUAUACUUAAUGCUUAGAACCAUCAAAUUACACCAUUAUGAUUUGAGGGGUUAAACUGUAUAUUUAAUUCUUAGAACCAUCUUAUUUUUCCCUUCUGCAAAAUUCAGCUUCCAACUAUUCUAAAACUAAUCUUGUCACAUGGAAUGCAGUAAUAAACAGCUUUGAGUUCUGUAAAUGUACAAGUUAUUAAUGGAGGUCAAUUUUCAUCUUUUGAGAGAGAGAGAGAGAGGUAUGCGCUUUGGUUUGUUAUUAUAAUGGUAGUAGUGAAAUUAAGGUCAUCAGCGAAAGUAGAUCAAGUUCAUAAAAUGGAUGAGAUCGCCAUCAAUAUGGUACUGAAGCUAUUCUUCCUAGCCAUUUGGUAAGUAAAGUGACAUAGGGGGUGUUUGUUUCUUUAGUCCCUCCUAAAAUUUCUGUCACAUCGAAUGUUUAGAUACUAAUUAGGAGUAUUAAAUAUAAACUAAUUACAAAACCAAUUGCACAGAUGGAGACUAAUUUGCAAGACGAAUCUUUUAAGCCUAAUUAGUCCAUGUUUUAACAAUGUGAUGCUACAGUAAACAUGUGCUAAUGAUGGAUUAAUUAGGCUUAAUAGAUUCGUCUCGUGAAUUAGCCUCCAUCUGUGUAAUUAGUUUCAUAAUUAGCUCAUAUUUAGUCCUUCUAAUUAGCCUCCGAAUAUUUGAUGUGACAUGAAUUUUAGGAGGUCCUAAAUAUGCAAACACCCCCAUACUCUUCAAGUUUGAGACUGAAUGCAAGACGAAAGCACACCGUCACCUACCAAGCACAUUGUACACUACAGGACGGAGGAAACAAACGCGUCUUUAGUGAAUGGACUGCAGACUUUCUGUACUUGUUACAAAAGUAAUAAUUCUUGGAGUACUGUUUUACUCCAUGACUACUACCCUAUAUAUAGUUCAUUCACACAUUUGCUUUACAGUGUCAAUCAUCAAUACCUGGAGAGAUCAGAAGAGAAAGAUGAGUGAGCACAAGAGGGCAGAGUAAAACCACACUAGCUAGGCCAUAUGAAUUCCAUAUUGCACUGAGAAUGGUAGGCACCAGGAAAGAAGCUAGCGCCGAUUUGAGUUCCAGACCAUGUGUCCUACUUCGAUGAUGCCUCUUUUGGAAUGCAUAUGCUGCAAUGUACUGAUGAAGAGUUCAUUGGUGGCGGUAGACCGGUGGAGAAAAAAGAGUUAUCAGCUCCAAUUCACGGUUUUUCAGUGUUCUGCUCCUACUUGGCACGUGAUCCGGUGUUUUACUCCUACUUGGCACGUGAUCCGGCCACUAGUGUGUCCUACUUGGCACGUGAUCCACCAGUAACACUGGUUCGGCGGUCGUUGAAUCUUUGGAAGCAGUGGCGCUACUGCAUGUACCGUCUGGCUAUCACUGGCUGUUCGCUGCGAGAAUGGACUUGGAGGUCCUGGACGGAUCCGAUUACGAAGCAUUAUUAAUUUGUGGUGGAUUAUUUAUAGCAGCUGUAGCUACUAACACUCUCAUACUUGAUCAUAUGGUCUGUCAUGUUGCGAAACAAUUAGCCAUCAAUUAUCAAUUAGUAAUAGAGUUAAUUGUAGAGGACGUUUCACGAAAGUGUGUGAACCUUUCACGAAGGGUCAACUUCCAAGGGACAUGAUGCCCUUUGAGCAUACCCUUUCCCCUUUAUAAAUGUGUAACCAGACCAUUCAUUUAAUAAAUAAAGAGAAUUCUAAGAUUCAUUCUUUCGGUAUCUCUUUAUACUCUCGACACGCCGCACGCCCGCACCAUGUAUUUCUCUACGUGCCUCGAUCACCAUGCAAACUACACAUGCUGACGACCUUGCAGCAGUCAGCAGAUGGAUCGAAGCGCCCGCACACUCUGUUCUUUUUAUUUCUCUUAUUAAAGGCAAAUGCAGGAAUACUGCGUGAUCAGUACGGAGCAGCAAAGCAGUUACUCAGUUACAUAUAGAUGAUAUGCUCCAUCCUUGGAUUUAUACAUCUUCGCUGACUGCUAGCAUUAGCACCAUCUUAUUUCUCCGCUGUGCCCUGCAGCUUGCCCCAACAACCAGCGAGCCACCCUGAGCCAAUAUCAGUAGAAAACGGAGAGGCCCGGAUAUGGUACUGGAUGAAUUAAAAGAAAACUAUAAACCUACUACUGUGGAAAUGUGAGGCUCCAGGAAAUUGGCUAUUCUGGAUGAUGACGAUGCGUCAGCAAGGAAGCCUGCAUAUACAUGGCCCAGCAAAGAACGUUGUUCAGAGAGGAAGCCAUGCCUCUUGUUCACGAGCUGCAAGAGCACCAUCUUUCUUCUUGGGCUUCAUGCCACGCUAGGAUGGAUUCAAGGACAGGAGGAGAGCAAACCAAGCUAUUGCACGCAUCUACCCAUAGCUGCAACACCAGUGUAACACCGCCGUUAUCGAUCAAUUGCCCUGAGCUCCUUUUCUAUGCUUGCAGACUCUUGCAAGUUAGGGAAGAUCACCCUGCCCCAGCAAACUUUGGGAAAUCACACGGUGAACGUGCCUUCUCAGUUCUCAUGUUCAUGGUACGUCUGUUUUUUGUACAUGUAAAUGCAUGAAUGUCUCUGUUUUUUGUUACAUGUCAAUGGUCAAAUCGUACUCGAACCUACAUCUAUCACACAUGAGAACUGAGGCCUGACCCAUAGUUCCUGCAGUAAAUUAAUAUGAACAUAUGUACUGCAAACGCUUCAGAGGACACUGAUUUAUCACUAACUAGUCCAUUAACCUGUGCUCCUGUACAGGCUAAUAUUUUUAGGCUAAUAUUUUUAGAAACUAUUGUAUUUAAAAAUUAUUUAGAAAUUAAACUUCUAGCUAAUAAUCAAAAUUGUUUACCUACUGCUCUCUUAUUUUUUCAUUACUUCAACAUAAUACUUAUAUAGAUAUGUACCUAUCUUUGUCCAGUUAUGAUUGAUUUUUAAUUAAUAAUUACUCUAUGCACUUUUUCAUCCAUAUUCAUACUUUUCCCAUUUUGUAUCGCAGGAUAAUAGAUCAAUAGCUAUGACUAUUAGAGUUUACAGGAUUGGUGUUUGAUGUUUUUAAUUUUUAUGAGAAUUUGUCUCUUUUUUCUAGCUUGUUUCGUGAGAACUAAUGCGGAGCCUCCAAUGGAAAAAAUGAGGCUACAUUGUUACAGAACUAUUACCAUGAGCUACCUCUCGUUUGUUAAAUACUCGAACACAAUACUUAUAUAGAUAUAUACUUAAUAUCUUCAUCCAAUUAUGAUAGAUUUUAGUUAGUAAUUACUCUAUAAUAUUUUCAUCCACAUUUAUAAUCUUUAACUUUUCACAUUGCAUCGCAAGUACGCGCUUGAAUUUAUUUAAUGAACCCUAAGUUUGAGAUACAAUUAUAACAUUGAAAUCUAUAUUCACAUCACCUUAUAUCUUUAUAAAUGGUGACACACAUCAUGCGUAUAGACCUUAAUUAUUAUAUCGUAUACCAAUCGUGCAAGAUAUAGAUGAUUUAGAAUCAUAUAUUGUUGUAUAUUUUUAAUUAAGGUUAUUUGAUUCAAACAUAGGGUUACCUCAUGAUAUUUUUAAUAAUGGUAUGUGUGGGUAAUAUAGAUGCAAAUUUAAUAGGUUACUUUAAGUUUUUUUAAGUAAUAGUGGUGGACGAUUCAAUUGCAAACUCCGUCGUCUUGACUUUUGAGUUGACCCAUAUGCAGGAGAAGAGGGUAAAGGUGUAAAGGAGCGACAACACAAUAUUCUUCUUUCGGACUGUAGGCCACUCUGUGAAAUACGGAGUAGUAAACAAAUUGAAAAGUGACACUUCCCUGUUGAAUGUGUUGAAAUACGGAGUAGUAAACAAUUGCAAAGCUUCCGAGAUCGAUGACACUUGAAUGUUUGUUGUCACUGCUUAGUAUGUACAGUUUGUCACAGGACCAAUCUAUCAUAUUCAUGUUUGAAUUUGACACGGGGAGGGAAAAGAAUAUCAGACUACCAAUGUUCCUGGGUUGCUUUUGCCUACUACGUACAGCAAGUACGUUCAGUUAUCAGGCACCAGAGAGUGCAAAUGGCUUGCUUGUGUGCACACAAGAGGGCAAAAGAAAAGAUCUAUGGACCUUUUUUUUUGAGUAUUUCAAUCAGGUUUUGGGUCGAAUACUUCUAUUGCAUAUUGAUACAAAACAAGUCGCAGUUCAUUGGAUAUGUCCCUGCAGAUGGAAGAUUAUAUUGAUUAGUAAUGCAGUUUGAAUGCUGACGCAAUGAAGUUUUUAAAAUGAAAAAACAGAACACAGUUACAAACAAUUGUCCACCGACCAUCAUGUGCUUGAAUAGUACUUGGAACAUAUAGCAUUAUAUACUUUUGUAUCAGCAUCAUUUUACUUCUCCCUUGUAUAGUACACACCUCAGCUUGCACCUCCCAUCGAGGCUCCCCGAGUCAAUUUUGAUAGAAAAAGAAGGGAAAAGAGAGAGGUUAAAGAUGUUGUGGUGCAGGGAAAGCAAACUGUAAAUCUACUCUAGAUAUGUGAGGUAGAAGGAAAAAAAUGACAAACAGCACAUAUGGUUCAUUUAGAUACGCUGAAGUAACCCAUGGAGAGGCCUUUAGUAGUACCGGUUGGUGUUAUAUUCCGGUACUAAAUGGUACUCCACGGGAUACUGGUGUUAUUGCCCGGUACUAAAAGACCUCGGAGCAUGGAAAAUUUCUACCCGGUACUAAUUUCUCGUGUUAGUACCACUGUCCGGUAUUAACGUCAAGGACGAAUGCUCAUAUUUUUAGUAGUGAUCUGUAGCUGAUGUAGACAACUCACACUAGCAUGGUGCAGCCGGGCGCAGCCAAAAGCGGUCCUUGAUCAUAGAGUACCAAAGAAUCUAGUUGACGCAAAAUAGCAUUAGAGCAUGCGCUUCGCGAACGGAUCGAAUCGUGGUGAGAGGCUGUGCAGACUGGUUCCUAGGAUUUAUCUCGAGUCGAUCGUUCGAGGGUUACUACCACGCUUUUUCUCUAUGUUCUGGGAGCCAAGGUAGCAAAAACCAUGAUAACGUUCAUGCACUGGUUCCAACCCAGUUGCCGCCUCCCAGAAAUAAAUUCUAAAUCUAGCUAACUAUCUUUUCGGCUACACUUCAAUUGACCCAUAAGUUAAAAGUGUCUUUUUCAUAAGAUCAUGGUUAUAUGUAACUAGUCCACCAACCCGUGCUCCCACAAGGGCUAAUGUUUUUAGAAGCUAUUAUAUUUAAAAAUUAUUUAGAAAUUAAACUCCUAGCUAAUAAUCAAAAUUGUUUACCUACUACUCUCUUAUUUUUCAAUACUUCAACAUAAUACUUAUAUAGAUAUGUAUCUAUGUUUGUCUAGUUGUGAUUGAUUUUUAAUUAAUAAUUACUCUAUGCACUUUUUCAUCCAUAUUCAUACUUUUUCCAUUUUGUAUCGCACCUCCAAUCCUCCAUACAUUAUGUUUAGCAUACAAAUCAAUAUUUUUCAUCGAUUCCUCACAUACAUGAAUAAAUGGUCUAAACGGUGUGACUCAUCAUGUGUAUAUAUUUUAACUUAGUAUUUUUAUAUUAACAAUGAUAUAAAUAGGUAAUUUAGAAUCAUAUAUUAAUUUACUUUUGACGUAUGAUGCACAUGAAGAUAAUUAGAUUAAUAUUUAGAUAUUUACUUUAGGUUAUUUUUAAUAACGACAUACGUGGGUAACAUAGAUAAAUUUUAGAAUGACAUUUUAAGUUAUGCUUUAUAAUGAUAUGUAUUAGUAAAUUGGAUUUAUAAUGAUAUGUAUUAGUAAAUUGGAUGAAUAUUAUGGGGUUACUUUAGAUUAUUUUUUAUAAUAGCUGAGCUAGGUAAUUUAGAUGUAGGUUUAGAGCUUACUUUUUGUAAUAUUUUCACAAUAAUAGUGGUGGAUAACUUUUUAGAAAAUAUAAUAGAUCAAUAGCUAUGAUUAUUAGAGUUUACAGGAUUGGUGUUUGAUAUUUUUAAUUUUUAUAAGAAUUUGUCUCUUUUUUCUAUCUUGUCUCGUGGGAACUAAUGUGGAGCCUCCAACGAAAAAAAUGAGACUACAUUGCUACAAAACUAUUACCAUAAACUACCUCUUAUUUGUUAAAUAUUCGAACACAAUACUUAUAUAGAUAUAUACUUAAUAUCUUCAUCCAAUUGUGAUAGAUUUUAGUUAGUAAUUACUCUAUAAUAUUUUCAUCCACAUUUAUAAUCUUUAACUUUUCACAUUGCAUCGCAAGUACGCGCUUGAAUUUAUUUAAUGAACCCUAAGUUUGAGAUACAAUUAUAACAUUGAAAUCUAUAUUCACAUCACCUUAUAUCUUUAUAAAUGGUGACACACAUCAUGCGUAUAGACCUUAAUUAUUAUAUCGUAUACCAAUAGUGCAAGAUAUAGAUGAUCUAGAAUCAUAUAUUGAUGUAUAUUUUUAAUUAAGGUUAUUUGAUUCAAACGUAGGGUUACCUCAUGUUAUUUUUAAUAAUGGCAUGUGUGGGUAAUAUAGAUGCAAAUUUAAGGGAUUACGUUUUUAAGUAAUAGUGGCGGGCAAGUUGCAAAUUAGGGGGUUAUUUUAAAUAUUAUUUAUAAUAGCAUACAUAGGUAAUUUUGAUGAAGAUUAGGGAGUUGAUUUAGUUUAAUUUAUAUAAUGGCAUAUGUGGGUAAUUUAUAUAUAUAUUUAGGGGGUUACUUUAGGCUAUUUUCAUAAUGGUAUAGGUGGGUAAUUUUUUAGAAAAUAUAAUAGAUCCAAUGGCUAUGAUGAUUUGAAUUUAUCGAUUGAUGGUCGGAUGUUUUGCUUUUUUGUUUCUAUGAUUUCUCUAUUUUUCUAGAGUGUCCACUUAGAAAUCCUAAGUGGCUUCACCUGUAGGUUUCAAAAGGAGCCUCCAAUUAGUAAUAGUAAGAUUGAACUGACUAUUACUAGUACUUUUAGUAGAAGCACUACUUAAAUAUGUUCAGCACUAUAUAUUUGAUUUAGCAGUUAGCUAGUACCAUCUUUGCCUUUUUGCAGCUCGCUCUGAACAGUGCCAUCUAAAAGAAUCUGAUUUUAAUGAAGAUGUAUUAGGGUUAGUCUCUAUGUAACCCUAGCCAUGAACUUGGGAGAUCUAGUACCGUCCUGUAGUUUCAGGCGGCUGUCUGCAUUGCUCUUGCUCUGCUAGUCACAGGACAAACAUAUCAAUGUUUUACUCCGGGAGGAAAAGAAGUGCGCUGGUUUCAGACUACUACCAAUGUUACCGUGAAGGCGAGAACCUAGGGUGUUUGAGCAUUUUUGCAUAGUACGUAAUCCAACUAAUCUCUAUUGACCAAAAACAGAAGUACUUUCAGUUAUAUGUGUUCUUAGCGAGUAGAAAAUGACAACUUUAUGUGCAACAAAGAAGCAGAAUAAAAGAUAAGUGGACCCAGUGUUUUUUAAGUUUAUUCUUUAAUCUUUUGAGUUGAACACUUGUUGUAUCCGAACAAAUCACGUUUCAAUGUAUUGGAUAUGUCCUGCAGCGUGGAAGCAGAGAUUAAACAAUCAUGCCGCGUGAAUGCUAAAAAUAGUACUCCCUCCGUUCCAAAUUGUAGGUUGUUUUGGCUUUUCUAUGCACCUGGACAUACACUAUAUUUAGGUAUAUACAAACAUCUAUGCACCUAAAAAGUAAAAAAUAACUUACAAUUUGUAACAGAGGGAGCAUCAAGUAGUAGAAAAAAUAGUAGACCAACCAUCAUCAUAUAUAUAUAUAUAUAUAUAUAUAUAUAGUACUUUAAUGUAGAGUAUUAUAUAUUUGCUACCAGCAUCAUAUUACAUCUGUCUUGAGAACUUCAUGCUUGCACACCCACCAGCGAAGCGAGCCAGACUGAUCGAGCAAAUAACAGUAGAAAUGAAGGAAGAUUAGUGUGUCAGGUGCUGUAGUACAGUAAGGUAAAUAAAACUAUAAAUCUCUAUUACUGUGUAGGGAUGCGAGGCACCAGGAAAUAGGCUAUUGUUCAAGGUUUUCAAAGAUGCACUAUGCAGUGGUGUGUUCCCAUGCACCCUAGCUAGUUCACCACACUCUCGCCUUUCUCAACUCGGUGUCAUACGAAGAUGAAUCCAAGGAUAGGAACUCAGUGUGUGCUCAGAGGAAGAAGAGCUAGUAAACAAAGCAAAAGCUAAUAUAAUGGACCGGUUCGUUGAAGCCACUUGCAAACCCGGUGAUUCAUGAACCAGCGGAAACGGUACACCAGUCAAAUCAUUCGUCUAGACUCUAGAACAAAGUAAUUAAGCACUCUUGCACAUGUGAAUCAAACAGUACCUUAAACUAGUCCUGGACCUGGACUAAUACAUAUAUGAUUUCUGUUCACUCUGCUCAUCAGCAAUUAGAUGUAACCAUGCCUUUGACCGAGCUGUAAUUAAGGACACUUUGCUACCCAAUAAUGAUGCUUAUAUCCUAGGUCUAGCAGAUUACUGAUGAUAUUGUACGAUGCCUAGCUCGAAGGAAUCCAACUCGAACCCUCUUACUUGGCAUCUCUGUUCUCGUCACCUUAUUUGUCUUCCUGAUGCCACUCAAUCAGAAAAUGUCAUGUUUGUCCUAUAAUCUUCAUCAUCACAGCACACCUAUACUGUUAAAAAGCAUGAUGGUGUUGAUGAAAUUUUCAGACAAAGAUCGACGUGCAACAGAAACAAGUGAAAUGUAGCUAGUUGGAUUAUCAAAUAAGUUAGUUUUAUGGAAGGAUUUCAGUAUCGGUAGGCGAACAUUAAAGUCACAUAUCAUACUGGUGCGUAAAUAUAGAUUUCAUACUAUUUGUGAGAAAAGUAAGAAAGAUCUGUAUUUGUUCACGUGUACUAGACAGUAACUUAGUAUAGACGUGUGCCGUAAUCCUGAUGGCAAAUAUUACCACAUCAACACGUCCAGAUACUAAAUGUGGGUGGGUGUCCAACACCUUCCGACGAUAAUUCAUAAGAAGAAGCAGAGAAGACACUGAUGAACAAUUGGAAUAUCCAAGGCAUACUUUAACUUUAGAAAGUUGGCAUGAAUUGUAUCAUUAACACUAUUAAUUUACAAGAUGAGGAUGCUGCUAUAAAUUUUUUCAAAUGUUUCUCUGUAGCUACUGCACAAGUCAUAACAUCAAACUGAUUUCAAUGAGAAUGGUUGAGGCCGGAUAUUUUCCUUAAUCUAAAAAGCGCAACAAACUGAUCAAGCAAAACAAUGAAGAUCUUCCACUGUUCUCAGGGAUAAUCCAAUGUUGAGAAUUGCUCAAGUAGUCUUUUUUUAAAAAACCACACAAAUCUUACAGCAGACAAAACAUUAAGAUAACUACACGACCCUGUUAGGGCAACUUAAUCUUUAUCUAAUUUCCCCGAGGAACCAAUCUAUCCCUUGUCAUGGAUGCCUUCCCAUUGAAAUCUCAGUUCUCAAAUGAUGCUCUUGGCUUCGUAAUCAAAUAUGAAGACAUCAGUAAAGUAAGUGAUAAAAUGAAACUAAGACGGAGGGUUAUCCCUUCAUGCUCUCAUGCUCUGCAAUUUGCACCGUUCGAUUGGGUGGAUUAAUUCCUGUGACAUCAUGGCCCUGAAGCCUGUGAUGAACUCGUCCUGCAAGUGCGUGAAUCUUCUGAGCUCACAUUAAUUCAGCCCUCGUACUCACGUUAGGAACGUCAUGGAUCUUUAGCCUGCAUGGGACACCAAGACACUUUCGAUGCAGUGAAAAAUUAAAUCCAGCUGUGCUUCCUCUAGUUGAACUAGUCGUUUUCCUAGGUUAAUUGUUUCUUUGGUGCAGCUUAAUAGAUAUCCCCUUUGUUUAGUACUAGACAUCCCAAUGUAAACCAGUGAAUUAGACACAUUCCCCACAUUUGCGACAAAUUCCAUCUAUUUUCCCAUGUAAGCGAUCAAGAAAAGCUGCUAGAAACACCACUAUUACAUCAUACUACAGCUCUUUGAUCAAGGUGCGUUCCACGACAAUCUCGCACUAGACGCUGACGCAGCACAAGUUGAAGUCCUAACAGUGGGACCACCUGGCAAUUUGAGUUAGUCUGUUGUGUUGCUGAUGCCGCUCAUUCCCAAACAUACAUUGUUAAUCUUGUCUUAUGAAUUAUGAUCCACCACUGCCUAAACGUGCUGGAUAAAUUUCUCCUCCUAGCUAGGCCCUAGCUGGCUGGGUGGCAUGGUGAAAUAGAGUUAAGCAUGCAAUACAACAUGGUUCUACGCGCUAAGCUACUUGAAUCUAUUUCCCACAUACUGUGCUGGGUGUUCCUCGUUGCAUGUUCCAGAGAGGAAUUGGAGGACAUACGAGCUAGAGCUAGCAGAUAAGCAUGGGAAGAAAUGAGGAUGAGGUGAAAGGUAUAUAUAUAUUGGACAGAUUGAUUGACCUGAAGAAAUACUCCUAGAUAUAAGUUGAUGUCGAGCGCUUCUCUAGAUAUAUCUCAAUUGGAUAACUGACAGUCUGACAGGAAAAGAUAUAAUAUCACUACAGCAAAAACAGUAAUUACUUAUUUAACUUUUUUCCUUUUAUUUAUCUCGCAAACACGGGAGCGUGUGGCCCACUAGAUGUAGAGUCACCAAUUGCACAUAUAUAGCUCAUGCAUUAACAUCACGCAGGAAAAACAGGCACUUGAAUAUGUGAAUAGAAUUACAGUAACACCUAACAUGCAGAUGAUACAUACUCCUAAAUGCACAAGAUUUGCCUUCCUUUUGCUGUACACACUACAGUUGCUACAGCAUAGACAGUUACUAUCUCUAUAAUUACUUCGCGAAAACAGAACGCACUCCACCAGGUUCAGCACAAAAUUGCCGGCAAUAAGGCAAACAUGAGCCACAAGCACCUGUCCAAUUAGCAACCUGUUGGGUCGUUGAAUGAGCAAUGGAAGAAGGAAGAUCCGAGAUGGGGCUGCUCAUCAGUGUACCAAGAAAGAAAGCAAUACACUUACACUAUAAAGCCGACACCAUCAGAAGCAAGGGAGAUAUCAAAGAGUUUCAAACUGGCAAAACCUCAGGAUAAAAAAGAAUUAUAAACUUUACUCGUUACAUGCUUGCAGCCAUCGACGAGGAGAUGGGAUUGGGAACGUUUGCGCUGUGGGGUUUUGGAGUAUGUAGUUUCCUGCUGUGUAUUUGUGUAUGUUUCAAGCGUCGAUUUGCAUAUAUUGGUGUGCACUGACGAGCACUUGUUGUAUCGGCGAGCAAUGCGAGAGCGACAGGUGAGAUAUUUGGUUAGGUUCUAGAAGAUACAGGUCCAUCAGUGCCAAAUGUAGAGCGUUCUGGCCGAGCUUUUGCACACUUUGAAGAUACUUUGAUGAUGUCAAGUCAACGGCAUCGCAUAUUCUCCUUACAUCUGUGACUCGUGGAAUUCAUUAAAAACCAAAAUUCAGACUGGCAUAUCGCGCGUAAUAUGUCCCCAAGUUUAUGACACAUUUCACUUCUGACGUCGUCUAUCCUGUCGAGCUUGCACUAAGCACGUACUGACACACCAAAAGCUAUCAAAUUACCAACGGAGCCAGCUCGUAAUCGUCACGAGUCUCUUGUGUUACUGAUGCCGCUCGUUCCUAAGCAGCGUUGGUCUUGUCUUGUCAUCCACAAACUUGGUGGGAGGAGAACUCUCCUCCCAACUGGCCGGGUCGCAUGGUGAAAUGGAGUUAAGCAUGCCAAUGGUUCUACGUGCGACUUGAAUCUAUUUCUACGUUGUCACCUCCAAUUUUAAAAUAAAACCAGUGCUACCUAUAUAUACCUAUAUAUAUUAUCAGAAUAAAAUUUUAUACAUAUAGUGACAUCAUUAGUGAAUAACAUCUAUAGUAUCACGUAAAAAGAUAUAAAGAGAGAUAUCAGAGAUAUACGCUCAAUCAUGGAAACGAAGGCUUCAAUCUUCACAUGCAGUCGACUAGGGGCUGUGCACGCCUAGAACUCAGCACGAUCUCACAACAACUUCAUAGCAGCUUCUUCUUCUUAGCAAUGUUUGAAAUUCAGCUGAAAUUCAAAGCAAUAUGAGGAUUUAGAUCCCAGCCUCCUCUACCCAAACAUGCCGUUAUUCUCAGUUGAUAGUGUGAUGUGUGUAUCCAAACACAAUCACGCACGCGCAGCUCACCAAAUCAAAACCAGACGCCAGGUUGGAUAUCUGACUCCAAGUUUUCUUUACAAGUUACUAUUUUAACAGUAGCAAAAAAUUUUAAAAAAGUUGCUACUCCCUCUGGCCAUUGUUUGAUGACGUUUUGGACAGUAAAAUGUAACUAUCACCCUCAAGAAUAGUAAUUACAAAUCAAAUUUGCUGCCCAAAAUGUCAUAAAAUUAUUACCAGAGGUAGCACUUCUCUAGAACCAUGUCUUUUCUUAUGCACGUUAAAUAUUUUCUGCUACCAUGAGUCAUAAAUAUUUUGAAUAGAUAUCUCUUCGAUACAACAAAGGCAUCCAAAGGACCUGUGACAUAGUCAAAUUUCUAACAGAUCAAUAUCGUCCAGAUGACAUACGAGAGCGAAAGCGUGUGUCACGCUAAAAAUUCAGUUGGUUAUCACAGUUGUGACUACUGAAGUUCCAAUACACCCCAAAAUUGGCAAAACAGGAACUAGGACCUGAGACUAAACAAAGUUUAAAGGUGCAGAAGAACCUGAACCUAAUCAAAGUGCUCCAAAAUGAACAGGAUUAGGAAGAGAAGACUGCUGUGUCAGUAGUACUAGGAUUUUUGUUGAUUAGUGUCUCAGAUUAUUAGCAGAGUUUGCUUCGGUACUGUCCGUAGAAGAGUGGUACGAAUAUUUACGGUAUACACUCAUUUCUGAAUAUUCUGCAUCAGUUUGAAUUAUAAAUGCCCGAGACAUUCUCAGCAGCCUCUUCAGGGUUCAGAAGUGGCGUGCCAGUCAGCUGCUGCAACACAUUCUAUUCAGAUGUACAAGCAUUCUUUUGUUCCAAUCAGAUGUUCAGAUUCAGCGGGCCAAGCAAUGUAACCCUGCAGCGAAGACUGAAAUGAAGCAAUCCGCGUUCCGCGGGCUCAAUGUUGGUAAUGAAGAAGGAACAACCUUUCGCGGUCAUCUCCCCCGUCGUUAACCGCCGGCUGACGCGUCGGCCUUUGCCGUCCUCACACUAUCAGGGACUGCCCACCGCGCAGGCCAUCUACUGGGGACAACCGACCGGACCUCUGAGAUCUCCUCAACAUGGAGUAUGGCGCCGCCGCCGCCGCCGCCGCGCGCCGGUCCUCCUCCGCUUCAAUCCGCCACCGAACAUUGCGGCCCAGACGAGGGGCCUAUUUGCAAAAAUAUGGAUCGCGACUAUCAGGGUCCUGUUUAUAAAUUUUGGAUCCGGAUUAAUAAUCGCGAUCCAAAUCAGGGGGUAUUUUGCAAGGUUCUGGAACUAUCCAGGGAUCGAUUUGCCAAUGUGUUCACCACGGUCUAUGCUGCGGCCACGGCGCCGGUGACGGCUCCCGUUCCAACGGGAAGCCUCGCCCCGCCAUGAGACACUCUCACCUGUCCGCCGCCCUCGGCCUCGCCGUUGACCCCGAGCCCAUGGGCCAGUGCACCAAAUCCUCCGCAGCCAGCCACCACCGCCUCGACGCUCAGGCCGCUGCCGGCCAUGCCCCGCCGUCCAGAACACAGGAAGGGGAAAAGAGAUCCAGAGGACACCAGCACGGGCACGCACGCACUCUACCACCGCAGUGCCCCACCUCACGGGCAUGGCAUAGUCUGAGCUCACAACAAUUCAGCGCUCUUGCUCACAUCAGGAACAUCAUGGAUCUUUAGUCACGGGGGCACCAAGACACUUGCAAUUGAAGACGAAGCCAGAUAGGAUCAUGCUGCAUUGCUGCUGUAGCAAUCGUAAUAAUGCCCCCAAAUUUGUGACAGAUUUCAUCAUUGAGGCCGGAAACAGGAACCUGCAUCAUGAUCAUCUCAGGUGAGGCUACGAUCUUAGGAUCCGGCCAUCAUGGAAGAAAGCAACAUCAUCCUUUAAGGAUUACUAGUAGAAAUGCCCGUGCGUUGCUACGGUUCUUUACAUGUCUAUAUUGAUGUUUCAGGUUAGAAUGCACAUCUACGAUGACUUCUCAAAUGCCACCGAAACACUUCCAUUUUUUUAUUUUCUGAAAAACUUUCACUUUUCUUCAUCUUCUUUAAAAUUGCCUCUCUCGAAAUCAAAUCUCCAGGUCAAUGAUAGCAUAAAAAGUCACAAGUUUUUGUAGACAUCUUGAAAUUAACAUAACUGUUCAUAAAAGAAGCAUAAAAAAUGUUUCUCCAUGAGGCCACAUUUCAUGAUGGACUCUACACAUGAAAUGGAUUAUAUCUGACAAAUCACAAUGACAACAUGCCAUUGGCAUGCAGUGACACAUAUGCUCGCACACUUGGAUCAAGACACGGUACAAAAGGUUUGUUGCAACUCAAAUAAAUUGUGCUAAUCACAUAAGCAUAAUAGGUACCAUGAUUUGAUACAAUUUAUCUUCAUCAUUUGAAUGUUUUAAGCUUCUUUUGAUACACUCAUAUUGACAUCGUCCUCUUUCUUUUCACUCUUGAGUAUUGCAGAUACAACUUAUGAAGUCCAGGACACCGGAGGGGCAAUUCGCUUUUUGAGCUCGUACCCAUCCUGUAGAUUUAUAAUUUUUUGUAAGGUAAACAAUCAACAGUAAAUUUGUAUAUUUAAAUAAACAACAUUAAUUUAAAAGUUCCAUGAUACUGACCUUUAAAACUGGCAAUUGUAGUUCUACAUCUUUCCAUGCGGACAUAAAGAGGGAAACAAGAUAACCGGAUAGUUCCCUGGUACAAGAUAGAUUUUUUAAUAAUCAAAGUUAUAAAUAAUACUCUAAAAAUGAUUCAAAGACAACAAAAAAGUUAGUAUAUUUAAAUACCUGUUAUAAAUUGGAACAUUAGGUAUGAUUAUUUGACGCCACAGGAAAUAUCCUCAUUCCAUAUAGACCCAGGGCAUAUUUUUGACAUGGCUUUUGGUAAGUAUUCAGCUAUCCAUAAAAGUUUCUUCACAUGUCUUGCAUUUGGGUUGUAUUGGUAAAUGGGAUUAAGAGGAGUUGGAUCCAAAAUGUAUACUGUUCUGAUGUCUUUAUUGAGUACAAUUAGAAUGAAGCCACCAUUGAAUUCUACUGGCAUAAGAAUCUGCAUUUGGCAAGUUGUUAGAAUAGUGAAAGCAACGGUGGUGGUGAUAGGUGUAGAGAUAUGUUCCUUACUGUUUUGCAUCUUGGAACACUAUAUGUAAUACCAGGCCAGCUACGAACGGUCUUUGCUAGCCGUUCCACAUCCAAGUUUUUACGGUAGUUCGGGUGUCAUCCAAAAUCUGUAGUAACCUAGGAAAUUAAAUAAUAAUUAUUUAGAAAGGUGAUCACAAGGGAUGUGUACAUGUAUAUAGACACUUGAUAACAUAUAAGAACAUACCUAAAAUUGCAUGUCCAGACAAUGCUUUGAUACUGUUCCUUUGGUCUUCUUCACUAUUUCAAUGUUGUCGAACAUAAUCUUUCGUAUGACUAAAUUUAAACAAUCACAGUCCAUGGGUACAUCCUCAUUUAUCAUUUCUUGCAGCUUUUUGACAGUCAAGGUAAUGGAAUAUGGCUUGGAGUUUUUGAUCCAUACGUUCCUAAAAAUUAUUAGGAAAAGCAAAUAGUGUAUGCUCUAAAUUGUAUUCGAAAACUAAAAAAAAUGUUGAGCAGUAGUAAUUUGAAGUGGCUUACUUCAAUGUUUCUGCACAAUUGAUUGAUUUGAUGUAGUCGCAAAGGCCGCCAAGUAACUCUUGCACACUCAUCGUAGAAAGAAUAGACAUUAGUGACUGGUAUUUAUUUUGAUCUGAUAAUGACUCUAAUUCUUUGGAUUUCAUUUCAUGAACAGAUAAUGAUUCUAAAUCUUUGGAUUUCAUUCCAUCAUCUUGACUUUCCAAUAUCACAACAUCAUUUGAAUUUUUCUCAGUGCCAUGAUUUUGUACAGACUUGGUAGUCAUUUCUACUGUGUUUGUUUUCCAACAUAACAGUAUACCGGCUAACUUCUAUCUAAAUUGACUAAUAUCUUCCUGUAAAGUAGCAAUGAAUGUGGGUAAGUAUAAAACUUAAUAUGACAUCAACUAUAUAAAAUAUACCUGUGUAAUAGCAUGAAAUAGUGUCUCUCCAGUCUAGUAUUCCAUAAACUUGACCAUAAAUAGACCACAAGGUGAGCUGUAUGGUUACAGAAGAAUAAUUAUUGAAAAAAAAGGCAAAGAAUUUUAUAGAAGAUACAUAGAUUGAAUAAACUACAAGAGACAAUUUUCCUGUUGUUGCCUAGCAUGAAACACAGAAGGAAACAGCCAGUGUACCAGAGGGAGAUAACUAAAAGACCAAGAUCGGUGAGAAUGGGAUCCAUUUUGUGACUUAAUUGGUAGGUCUCAAAAUCAUGCUGGGCGUGCACAAGAGUGUUAGAGACAUGUUGCACAACCAUAUUGUAGGCUCUACAUGAUAAAAUCAAACAGCAAACAACCAAAAUAUCUUCUAGCAUACAAAAAAAAAUGAGAGCCAAUUUUAAUCAGAAUAUAUUGGACAGUGCGUGGAUUACCGGGGCCUAUUAGAAAAUACUUGACAAGUGAGUUACAAUUUGUUUGAAAAUAGUCAUGACAAAGUAUUAGAACAAUGGAAGAAGCCACAGAACAACACAAGGAGCUUCUGGUAUGAGAUGAUUAUGUAAAAACUAUUAAAGUUUAUCAGAAAGAAGCAUUUCAUUUUGUGCCAAGACUACCAAUGAAACCUGUUUUGGUACACCAGUUCACCUCAUAAGCAUCAAAAGAAAUUGUGUUUCUUUGGUAAUCGAAUUGAAUGUGAAGAUAGUGCCCAGAAACCUAUGCAAGAAAGGGUCGCAUGAUUUUAGAAGCAGGUAUCAGCAAAAAAAAUGUAUGACUAAAGAUCUGUUGUGUUAGCAUAUCAAGUUUCCUCACAACAAAUAAGAAAAAAAAAUGCAAGUGCAUUGAUGUGAUAAUUUCUAGCCCUUGCCCAUUGGGAGCAAUCUGGUGGCUUCUUAAACAUUGCUUUAAUAGUGUGAACAUUAUUAGGUUAAUGAGGUGAAGCACACCUAUCUUUUUGGAUUGGUUCUUCCGAUUGUUUUAUGAUCGUCCAUUCAGUAACUUGCAGGUUUUUCCAAUUAUGGUCAAUCAACUCUUCCUAUUUUUCAAGAAUGCUCAAAUGCCAUCGCAGUCCUUUUAGCUGUAAAUAAAUUGAAUAUAUUAAUAAAUAGCUAAAGCUAUUCACAUAAGUGGUGGAUCAUAUAGAAUAUGUUAUUACAUAAAUAAAGGGUGAUAAAUGCUAUAGCAACUUACCAUAUUAGUGAGGUCAUCUCAAUGGAACUUCGAACAUAAUGAGUCCAAUACUUGUAUCUCACAAUUUUUUACGUUAAGAAUAGCUAAAUACCAAUGUGUUUCUUCUAUAUUUACUGGAAGUAGAAUCUAUAAGUAAGACAUUGAAUUAGUUGCAGACAUGCAAAAAAAAUUAAAAAAAAUCCAAACCUAGAAUUUGUAAUAUAUGAAAAAUACAAAAAUAGAUGUUACCAUUUCAUGUUUUAGAUAUUUUUUCACAAUCUCCGUAAUAAAGUUGCCACCUUCAUUUAUUCCAAAUAGUCCAUCUCUUUUUAACAGUCCUGAAACAAAAGGAUUCUCAUAAUAUAUUUUAAUACCAUUCAUAUUUUGUAGAUGAGCCGUAUCCUUUAUACAAACAUAUAUAUGCGUUGAUUACCUAUAAAGAUUAAAAGAUACAUCAACAGUCAUUAAUGAUAUAAUAUUCAUAAAGUAUUUUAUAAAAGAUCAUCAUCCACAUAUUUGCUUUGAUCUAGCAGGCACAACAAUUCUUUUUGUUUGAUAGAUAUAUCGUUUAUGUUCACUAGUAGAUCAGAUUCCAAAGAUGUUUCUAUUGCUAUUUGAGCACAAUAAUCUAGAUCGCUCAUUGUAUAAUCUGCCAAAAGUCAAGUAAUUUGAACAAUCAUAACCGAGGGAACUAACAAUGUAUAUAAUGAAAAAAAAUACCAAAUAUAUUUUGGGAGAUAAUCAUAUGCUUCGUCAACCUUAGUUUUGCUAUGUUCUUCUGAUUGCUUAAUUACGUCUGAUUGCUUAAUUAAAUCUAGUGAUGGAUGUGGUUCCAAUGGGUCACAACAAUCAAUCUGGUUAUCUGAUUCGGAAACAAUCGAUUCAGAAUAUUUCAAUUUUUUUUUAAAUAGCCUAUCAUCAAGAUCCACACCACCGGGUGAUUCAACGUUCGAAUCCAUUAUCUGCAAAAAAUAAAGCAUGAGUCUUUACAAUUUCCACUGGGUGAUUAAACGUUCUAAUCCGUUUUACCCCAUUGAUCAACCAAACUGAACUCUAUCGUCUCGCUUUAUAAACAAAAUCACGUAGUCGUCCAGAGAACAAUAAAAUGCUAGGCACUUCACCGCAAUCUAGAGUUGCAACAUGUCAUCAAAUAUAAUCUGUUAGGAAGCUUGCACCUGAACAUCAGACAAUCUAGACGAUUGGUAAAACUUAAAAAUCCACUACAGAGCAUAAGAAAGCAGAGAGCAACAUGUCAUCAAAUAUAAUCUGUUAGGAAGCUUGCACCUGAACAUCAGACAAUCUAGACGAUUGGUAAAACUUAAAAAUCCACUACAGAGCAUAAGAAAGCAGAGAGCAACCACCAAAACACAAAGAACACUAAGUUAGCAGAGCGAGUAUUAUUCCACACCAAAAUCUACCGAUCCAACACCCAGGAACCUAACAAUCGAACCGGAGAAACAGCAUCCGUGUCCGGAUCGCGAGGCAGAUUCAUCCAGGAAGAAGUUAAUUACCUAACUUGGCGCGAGGAACACCUUGGAGAACGAACCUGCCGUGAGGACUCGCCAGCCAGGGCGGACGAUGAAACGGACAAUCGGACGGGCUAGAGCCGAGAGAAGUUUUGGGGGACGGAGGCGGCCAGCUAAGGCGAUCGAUGAGAUCACAAACACCCAAAUCAGGAUUGGUGCCUGAUGAGUUCAGGAGGGCCCAAUAUUUCUCCUCUUCUAUUUAUAUUAGAUCAGAAAAUACCAAAUUAAAGAAGUUCUUGAUGAGUACGAAUCAAGUUCGAGUUCUUGUUGGUUAAGAGAGAGAAUAGUAUCAGAAUACUCCGCUGAUUGGGAGUCGAUCUCCCAUGGCAGAACCCACCAUGAGCUGGCUGGCGAGGGCAAGGAAGACACCGAGCGCGUGUGAGAGCGCUGCGAUGAGCGACGGCACCAGCGAGGCCAUCGCCACACCGGGAGGUCAGAAGAAGAGCCCCUCCUGGAUGUAGUGGCACGAAAGCAUGGGCAUGUCCGAGACCGAGAGGCUGAGGUCUCCAACCGCCGAUGUGCCGGCGGGGCCGAACCGUCUGCUUCGAGACGACGGAGAUCGUUGGCAGUGUCGGUGUGGACAGCCGGAGGAUGGUGAGGGGGCCGGAUGCGGACGGGGCCGGCGGCAGCAGACGGCGAGGGAAAGAGACUGGAGGAGGAGGGCACCACGGCAGGCGGUGGUGCGGGCGGCCGGAGGAUGGCGAGGGGGCCGGCGGCAGACUGGAAGAGGAGCUCACGGGAGGGGGGAGGGGAUAGGACACGGACGGGUGGAUGGCACAGGGACUUUUUAGCAAAAACAACAAGUCUUAUUUCAAGGACUGCGGGUUGAUUAAAAAAAGUUGAGAGACUUUUUUGCAAAAUAACCACGACGGUCGGAAGAAACAACCGCUCUUUAAUAGUGGUGUUAGAAUAUCAACACCACUAUCUACCUAGGAACAUGAACUUGUAUCUGGAUGGCCAUGACAACGGUCACCAGCACUGUGCCUUGACCACUGCGUCGUUCUCUCUCUCUCUCUCUCUUUUGAGAAACCUGCGUCGUUCUAAUAUAAUGCUCUAGCAAAUAUCCGACGCUUCCACGCCAUGAGGAGUACCUUACCAAGCUGACACGAGGCGCUCGUGUAGCGCAAGAUUUCGGAGUGACAACGAAGCCACCAGGUUGUUAUCACGAGUCUGUUGAUGCCGCUCAUUCCCAAUCAAGCAGUGUUAGUCUUGUCUCAUCAUCCACUUGCUAGCAAGAAUUCUCCCCCCAUCUUGCCUGGUGGAAUAGUGAAAUAAGCAUGCCAACGGGCAAUGGUUCUACGAGCUACUUGAGCUACGGGCAAUGGUUCUACGGGCUAGAUCCAGCAGAGCAGGGGAACAAAUGAGGAUGAGGUGAAUGAUAUACAGAGAGGAGAGGUUCAUUGACCUGAAGAAAUUUAUAUGAGUUGAAGUCGAGCGCUGAGCCGUUGCUUUAUAUAUAUCUCCAGGAUAACUGACGAGGAAAGUUGACGACACCACAGCAGAAACUGUCCAUACUUAUUUCGCUUUUUUUCUUUACUUGUUGUACAUUUUGAAUUCGGGUUAAAUUAAACUUUAUGAGGAGGCAGAUGCACACCAUGGCAACAUCAUAAAUUCCGGACGGUAUUUUUCGAGCAUCUUUUUUGGGUGCAGAGUCAACAAUUGCACAUCAUUAAACAAACAGGCAUUUCAAAAGGUGGAUUGAAUUACAUCAAUCGAUUUUCGUUUUCCGUCAGUUUUACGUUUUGGGCUGUAUUUUUGUUGUUGUUUCUGCUUGUAUAAAGUACGGCCCAUCCUCGUCUGCUCGAAUGGUUGUUAUUGUUUUGUCUGUGGGCUGUAUUGUUACUUUUUGUUUGUUUGUUAUUGUUUUGUCUGUUGGCUGUAUUUGUUUUUUUUUUGUUGCAGCCUGGAUCAUCAAUUCAUCAUCAGUCGAUUCUUUGCAUAAUCGCAUUUCAAUCGGCCCAUCCAUCCUGGUCAUCACCGAGACACCUGAACACCUCUCAGCCGCCAAACUCGAGAUCAUCGUCAUUCAGGUCAUGGUCAUGUCCUGCACUCUCCCGCUGCUCCUCGCCCAGACAUGCGCCAACCACUCCCGUUACGUCCCGUACGCGGCUCAGCCAAGCAACACCAGCCACCACGUCUCGGUCCACCUCCGUGAGCGUGAACAGUCCACUUUCUAGUUGAUGCCGGUUCAGAUUUACCUCGAUUUGUGCGGAUAUCUCUUCUUGAUUAAUAAUCAACUGGAAUUUGGUUUGGUUGGCACUCGAAUUUUUUUCCCCUCCUAACACUGCUACGUGGCAUCAUUCGAUUGGUUGAAAAAAAUCGAUUGAUAGCCAAAUAGAAAUCACUCGAGUAAUUUGUAGUCACUCCCUAUGAUAUUGUUGACGCUAAAAAUCGCACAAAGACUUCGGCUUCUGCGUCGGACACACGACCCGCGAGAAUCUGCUUAACUCCUGUUCAGGUUGUCGUCCUGGUGCGGUUCACGCGGCAUGGCAGUCAAUCUGACCUGUUGAUUGAUAAGGAAAGCGUUAAAUUACAUGGUUUCGAUCGGCUAAAGUUCCGAUCUGUUUUGAAGGAUGUAUCAGUGAAUUGGCUGAAUUACUGUAGAGAUGAUCGGCUAUAAAAUAGCCGAUGAUCACGUAGCGAUUGUAAAAAGGACUACUGGAGCAACCUAAACAAUGCUACAAAAGCAACACUUGAAACAGAUCUAAUCAGCUAUAUGAUAAUAAACAAAGAAUAUUGAUAAAAAGCCGACAGUUCGUGUCUCAAGCUGGAUAACUAGUGAUAAAAACUAAAACAACAGGUAAAAACUAUAAUUCUAGUAAAUAUCGAUAACUAGUGAAUAAAUCUAAACGAAACAACAGUGAUACGCCCGAAGUUAAAGCUUAGAUAUUACUCGAUAAGAGGAACUUACAAAUUGGCCGGAGGUCGUGUUGAUGCAGCCUUGUCAACUCGUACGAACUCAUGAAAAGAAAAGUAUUUGGCGAAGUCGCCGACUUGAAAGUAAAGUACGUAGGAAAAGUAGAUCUGUAUUAUUGAUCGAUGUGUUGUUUUACAAGUCUUACGAGAUAGCUAUUUAUGCCCUGUUACAACUGAUUUCCUAACCGAUUAGGAUUUUUCUCUAAUUUAAAGAUAACAAAUAUUUACACACGGACACAACCCACAUCGAAGUUAGUUAUUAUUUUCCCACGGGCCAAUCUUCAUUUUCGGCUAAUAACCUCCUUGGCCCAUUUUAUGCCCACAUCGGUUAAGCCGUUCUGACCUCCAAUCGGCCAGUCUUCAUUGACUCCCUCAGCCAAUCAGCCGAAACACUGUAGCUUUAUCGGUCGAUUCUCCAACUGUAGCUUCUUGCCUGCCGCAUCGGCCACCUUCCUCUCCUUUGACACCGACGUUAACACGUGUCAAAAUCCGACGUCAACAGAUAUAUACACCUAAAUACACGAUAUUGACCUUUUAUUUUGCUGUGGGAUAGUUUGGAGGAAAAUGGAAUGGCAGGAAGCCGGGAACAUAUAACGAAUGGGCGGCACUGGGCUGCUACUCGUGUUGGGCUGGGCUUCAUCUACUUUUGGUUCUUUGCGUGUGGCCGGCUGGCCCGGCCCAGCACGGCUUUCCUGCUCUCUCUCCCUCUCUCAAUUCCUUCAGGCUGAAUGACCACACUGCCAGAGUGCCAGUAGACCUGCCCCGUGGAGCCCACACUGGAUGGAGUACUCUUCACAACUCAUGAAAUGAAUAAAAGAAGAGUAUGCUGUCUUUUUUUAGAAAAAGGAAUUUUAUUUCUGCCUCUAUAAGAGUUUUACACUCAACCAAUUCUUAUUACAUUUCAAGCCUCCGGCAUUUAAAAAACGUGAGUUUCGUAGGAUCAUCGCAGGAAAAUCUCAUGAAAGUUUAAUUGGUUAGAUAAAGAAAGGUUAAAAUUAUCUAGCAGUGUGGCUGGUGCGUAUAGCGUGGAGCAAUAAGAGUACACAGUACUCCAAAUAAAUGAAGACUAUGGCAUAUGCAUUAAGAAAAUCUCAAAACAUUGCAGCAUAUGUUGAUGUUAUGUUUUAUGUCUCCUUUAUUUUUUUGAAUAAAAGAUCCUCACUUUACUUGAGAGAGUAAAUAAAAAAUUGAGGUUCAUCUUGGAAUUAACAAAUAGAUAUGGAGAACAAGGGCUCCCUUCGAUGUCUGAAUGCCUCUCUUACUUGCGUGAGCAUUAUAAAAUUUUGGUUCAGAAAGAAAGAAAGAUGUAAGUGUUCCGUACUACCAUAAUCCAUUCUUUGCCGGCCGCCACACCAAGAUUUGCCUGAAUCAUCCAGCCCCUCUAUUUGGUUCAAUUUCAGGUCAGCACAUUGCACGCAGUUACGCACAUCAAUGCUAUGUUUCUACGCAUCUCUCCUGUACAACCAUAUCGAUCAGUCCAAUUGUUCAUUCCCAUGGCAACCUCACAAAGUCACAAUUAUGUUUCAUAAAAAAAAAGUCAAAAUUAUUAGCUCCAUUUUUUUAAUACGACAGUUAAACACCGUGCAUUUGGCAGGUGAACGACCACUGACCGACCAAAAGAAAGAAUUUCCUUGCAAACCAUAAAUGGCGAGAGAACGAAUCAUUGAAGACCACUACAUGUCGAACAUUUUCUAGACCCAAGCAGGGGCACGCAUCACAUGGAAACAACAAGAAUAUUGUGAAGUGAGCAGAGCCUAAUUGUUCGAUCUCCACAGUCAAGUUGUACUAACUCCAUAUCACCACUAUAUAGCACGUUGGUCGUAAUAACUGAUCAUCAAUCAUCAAAGGGAGGGGGCGCAGACGACGCAGGCGAGGAGGAGCAUGGCAGAGGACGCGGCGUCGUCCUCCUCGCUGAAGCUGCUGCGCUUGAACCGGCACGCCUUCCCCUUGUUGCACGGCAGCAGCCGCCGCAGCACCAGCUCCUGCGCCUGAUGCUGCUGCUGCUGGUGCCGCCUCCCGGCGCCUCUCGCCGCAGCCGCCGCCUGAUCGGCUGCAGCCGGCCGGUGAACCAUCUUCCAAAUGUUGGUUUAAUUUAGAGAAUUGUAAGAGGAGAGCUAGUGAUGAGCGCGAAGAGCUUAUGAAAAUUGGUGAGCGAGCUGGGAGAUGAGGAGGCUGGAGAGCGAAUGGACAUGGCCAUGUGGCGAGGCCUAUUUAUAGAGGUCGACGACGGCCGGCGAUCGCCGGCCAUGUGCUGGUGAUGCUGCGAUUUUUAUUUCUGAAGGAUAUACUAAUACUACAGCCAUAUGGCAUUAUUGCGCCGCUCGAUCGAUCCAGGGUCUAUAGAUAGAUGCGCAUGAUCAGGACGACGACAUCUUUAAUUCAAAAAUGCGUUUGGAAGCUACUGCCGCAUGGGGGCGAGCGAGGGCCGGCCUGGUACCUAGCUACUGUAGGUUACAAAGGGGAAAGGCUAUAGCUAGCAAAGCUGGA
rnacentral:lncRNA from 1 species